UCCCAAUUGUUGCUCAACCCUCAUCACGUAGGCCUAGCAACAUUCUGUUACCCAGUCCCUCAUAGCAACAGGCUGCCUAGCAACUUCUGGAAUGACAACAUAACACCCCAUAUCACACUUGCAGGCUCUUCCUGUGAGCAUAAAGCUGUAAGUAUUGCACCUUAACUUUCAUCGCUCUCUCAACAUAGACUAUUAGGCUACCUCAUGAGAAUCACCUUAUGCUGCACUUCCCAGAGAGUUCCUUAGGACACCAGAACUGAAGUCAACGGGAAUUUUGGAGGUGUGAAGAGCUACUCAGAAGAAGCAAGGAUUUUCCAGGGCACUGGCAGUCCCCAAGGUUUCUUAAAACUAAAGAACUGGAAAACAAACUAGACUGCUCACUUAAUAGACCUUGUUCAUGCUGGAUUGUGACUUACUUCCCCAGCAAAAAAAUUGCCAUUCUUCUUGGAGAGUUUGGGUCAUGGCUCACUGUGAACUAGAACAGCAAAACAGAAAACUAGAUGGAACAUCUUUGGAAUCUCUUCCCACCCAUUCAAAUGCUAGUUAACAGAGAGAGAAUGCAAAAUUUAGUUUUUCUCCUGUAUGGUAACUGUUGAGUCACGACCUGAACCACUGAUUGAGCACCUGGGGAAAGGACCUGGUCAGCCCUGAGAGCACAGGUGAAGGCAAAGGCAAAGGAGUGGAGCUUGGCUGCUCUUCUCUUAGACCUCAUUUAACAGCUGACUGCCACUAAGGAAGGAUCUCUUUCUGGAGGUUCCUCCUUUGCGUUUUCUCCUGGGAACCUGGAUCUUUGGAGAUGGGUGAGCAGUCCUUUCUCCUUUCUUUAUAACGCCUUUCUGUAGCCUUGGUCCCUCUGUCAUCGCACCUCUUGUAUCACCUUUCCAUUGUGUUGGUUUUUCUGACUGUUACAUCUGCUAGCAAAGUAGUUGAGCCUUACUGACUUUACACUGCCUGAAUUAAGUCACUUGUAACAUUUCAGAUCAGGUGAGAAAGGCAGCUUCUGACAGGAAAAAUCUUGGGAAUUCAUGAGACUCAACUAGUUUCAGAAUCUAAAUUUACACCAUGACCAGUCUCAGUGCUGAGCAAGUCAAGAUUUUGGAAUAUUUCCAGAGUAUCUGCAUAUGGGCAUACAGUUAUGUGCAGUCAGGUUUUGACAACACUAGGUUGAUAGUUAAGUUUCUGUAAUCGUUGAGUGUUAUUGACUAUAAGUUGCCUCAUUUUACCUCAUGGUAAAAUAUACUACUACAUGCCUUAGCUAAACAGUUUUAGGAGGUCCAUUUUUCACCUGGGACAUGCCAGGAGUACACGGGCAUGGGCUAAGCUGAUGAACACUAAUAACUCAAAACCAUUGCCAUUAUAACUCAGAAAUGUUAAAUACUGUUUGCACCUUUUUUUUGAUCUUGCAACACCAAAGCAUUAUUCAGAUUGAUUCUCUCAGCCUCAGCUUAUCUCCACCUCUAGCUUCCUCUUUUUCAAGCUCAGAAACUGUUAAAAAAAAAAAAAAAAAACAAUGUGAAGAAACACAUUUUCUCAGAGGGAGGCACAUGAAGCAAAGAAGGCUUUAAUCACUACUGCUUUGCCUUUUUCAGAUGGGAGUUAUUUCAUUUAUACAUGCCCAUAGAGGUGAAUGUUGCUGUGGGUGAUGUAACGUGUGAGCCCUGAUUAUGGCUCUCCACCCACCGACUGUACAGCAGCACUCACCUUGUUCUUAGCUAUUCUUAUGCUACAGGGGGCUCUCUACCUUUGUAAGUUGAUUUAAAAAAAGAUUAUGGAAGGAGAACAAAGAGUCUUGAGAAAAUCUCUUCUUGCUUUCUUGUGUUUCAAAGAUACACAAUUUGUCUUGGAAAUAAAAUGUAAGUGUCACUACUCCUUGUAGUGCUUCUCCCCUUUUUCCCUGAAGAGGGGAAGUAGUAGAAACUAAAACUAUAUAAUCUUGACUGUAGUUUAAAAUAGCUAGUAUAAUUAGUCCAAACUAUCACUGCAAGAAAGCACAUACAUCAGUGAAAUAACAUCUGCCAUUCAGUGCCUAAGCUUAAACAUGAUCUGUGCAUCAAAAAACUCUUCAAGUAAUUUCAGCGCAGUUUAAUAUCACUAACACUGAAGUAUGCAAACAAAAGCAGACUAGUUCCAAAACAACAGCAGCAAUAAUAUUCCUACUGUUGUUACUUAGUAUCUAUGGACUUUGUACAGAUUUUUUAGAAAUCAAGCCUCUUGUAGACCCAACAUCAGUAAGACUCAUACUAUGGUUUAAUGUUAUACAUACUGUACAUUACAUCAGUUUAAUUUCACAUGUACUAAAAACACUGUGUGAAGAUUGAGAUUUUGCUGUAUUUUUAGGAUGAUUUUAAUAUUUGCUGCUCGCAGAACUAUUAAUUAAUUUUAAAAGCAUUUCAACUUGGACAUCUGAAAACUGAGUUACCAUGCAAACUAUGUCAUAUCAUGGCACUUUAAAGCAGCAGUGCAAUGUCUGAGACCCCAGGUGCUCCAGCCUCAUUUCACAGUGAUAAGGUACAUGGAACAGUGGCCACCCUUUGUUUUAUGCUUUCACGUUACCAUGGUGGAAUCUAGAGGUGCUACAGCAGCAUGGUCUGCCAGGCAGACUGUGGUAACUUUAUUGCUUUCUUGCCAACAAAUACUGCAUGCUGAUAUCCUUCAGGUCAUUUGAGAAUGGAACAAGUUAAAAUAUGACCUCUUCAUGCUUCCAGUCCUUUCCUGGGUUGUUUUGGUGUAGCUGUAGAACGUUACAAAUUGGGGACCGCGGUUUUGUGACACAAGGAAAAGAGAAUUAGUUCUUCUGCUUAAUUUUAUUUUAAGGGAAGGUGGGAGAAGUAUCGAUCAGAUUACUGCCACUGACAAAAGGCAGAAGGCCAGUCACCUCAUGGGUGUGUAUAACUAUGGGGGAUUCGCUUGCAACCCUCUAUGGAUACCUGCAUCCUCUGCUCCCUUUUCUUCUCUGAAGCACUUGUAUACCAAUGCACACAGCAUGAGGAAUGAACAGGAGGAGCUAGAGAUCUGUGUGCAAUUACAAGGCCAUAACCUCAAAUCCGUCUUGUCUAUGCAACGUUUGUAGUGGUGCUUGGCACAUACUGGCCCCUAGACUGGACCUGAGGAUUGUACCAUGUUUAUUUAGCUAUGUCACUGUAGUCACAGGAAUUGUGCUGAGUUGUUGCUCCAUUAGCAUAGUCUACUUCCAGAACUGCAAAACCUAUCUUAGCACCUCCCGGACCUCUUUUUCUACAGAGAAGUCACACAGGGGUUAGUGCACUAAGGGGCUUAUGCCUAUGGUGCACUAGCUCCUGGUGGGUCUGUGUUCCACUGUAUUUGCCACUGGCUGGCUGCUAGUCUGCAGCUGCUUUGGAUAGUUCUUAAUUUAUAAUACCAUUCAAUGAUACCGUCCACAUAAAAUCCACAUCACUUAAGUAAUACAUAUUUGGAAUAAUUGCCUUUUUCUCAAAAGGGCUAUUUCCCUAGGGCUGUGUUAUCUCAGUGAAGCAGCAUGUUUCAUGCCUAAACUCUACUGUUUCAGUGCAAUUGUAGUACCAUCUUUAAAUGUAGUUUCCAAAUCUACGUGCUCAUCAGGCCUAUCCUGGCACAAAGCUUUACUAUGAGUCAGCUCCUCUGCUCUCCAGUAGUUACCUGUAUUCACUCACAGUCUUCUUCUGUCUUAUCAAGAGAAGUUGCUUUUACUGCCCUUCUGCCUCUUGUACUCUCUGCUGCUGAUUACUUUAAAAAAGGUGUACUUCAUACUUCCUGUCAACAUCAAUAACACAUUUUUGAACAAGACAUUCAAUUCAACCAGAACAGAGAUUGUAUAAAUUCCUGUGACCUUUCAAUGCUUCAGUAAAAUUAAACAUCAAUAAUAGAUGUUUUGUGAUUCUGAUGAGAUGACACAUUUCUGAUUCAGCAAUAUUCAAAGAUUUUCUGUACUGGGAUAAGGACUGUCAGCUCCUGACAUUCCCACUGGUCAGUGGGAAUUACUGAAGCAGUCUCAUACCAGGUUCUGCCAAUGAGUUUUGCUUUAUGGCAUCUGACAUCUGCAGGAGUGCUAACAAAACCUAUAUUUCUCAAACAUAAACAUUUACAGGAUCUCUGCUUUUAGAAGGUAUGUUUAAGUUGUCAUGACAUCCAAAGAACUAGUAGUUUGCCAGAUUUGGUUAUUCUCAUUUUAUUUUUCUCAUAAGGAUAUUUAUAUUCUCAAAUCUCAAUUUUAAUGUCAGGGAACAAAGAGAAAAAACAGGGAAUUCCCUUCUGAGUACACCUGAAUUUCUAAUAGCAGAAUCUUGGUAGUUUUUCACACUCACUGUACCUCCAACUGGCUCAAGAACUUCGAAUGCCUCCAUAUGGUGGAAAAAAUUACACCCCAGCUGUGCUCUUGUGUUCAAAUUUCUGUUAAAACUCAAAAUGUGAGGCUCAUGCCACCCUAUUAUCAAAGCUCAAAAGGCAAACACUCCUUCCCAUGCUAUUUAAAAUAAUACCAGAAUUUAAGUGUGAUUGAUUUAGAACUCUUUUGUAAAUCAGUGAUCUAUGUUAAAGAACUGGUUUUCUGUUGAUUCUGGGUUUGAGCAAAAUCAAGAUUAAAAAAGAUAUGAUAAAAUACUUUACAAUUUACCAUAAUUUAGGAAUAUUUUAACAAGAUCUUUACUGUGCAGUUAUUCCCUAUUAUUCUGUAUUCUAGACCUUAUAUUCAUUUGUACACUAAAGGAACGAUGUAUUCAGAAUUGUUGAUGUUUUAAAGUAUUAGUUCUUUGCUUACAUUCUUGCUAGUUGUUUGGGAUUCCUACUGUUGUUUAUUGGUAGGAAUUUCAUUUUAUCUCAUGCUUUAUUUUUGCUGUUUUCUUUUCCAAAAUGAUCUUAGAGACAAAGCCUGUUAUAUUGCUGUUCAUGUCUGUAACAGUUAAGUAAAUAUAUAUAGUAACCACAUGAUGGAGAGAAUUGUCUUUGUCUUAAGCAUUUGAAACUGUCUGUAAAUGACAUACAUUUUAAAAGAUGAAGGUGACCUGCUGUAUUGCUUACUUCCAGGAAACAAAAGUUUCGGGUAAUUUUUUUUCAUUUUCAGUGGGCAUCUUCUCUUUGUUUUCAUAGUGAAAGUUAAAUGAAGCUAGUAAACAGAGUUUUGAGAAUUUCUCAAACCAGAAAAACAUUCUUUAGCUAUCUUUGAGUCAAAGGCUUGAGAGUAACCAAAAAAUGAGAUGCAGACAUUAUUAGGCAGAUUAUAAUUAGGCUCGCAUGAAUGCAGAAGGAGAGUUAUCUGUUUGAUCCCAUGCAUCCUCUCUGCAGCUGUAUAAAGGAUGGUUACUAUCUCUGUCCCUGCACUCCUAAAGUGGGAAAGAGACUAUGGCCAGCAGUGUUUCCUGCCCAAAUAGAUGGAGUGGACUACAACUCUGUCCUAAUUAAGGCCAGCUGUCACAUUCUACCUGUCACAUGCUCCUAUUUUUUUGAAGUGUGUGGGAGUUGCCAGUUCACCCUUCCCGGAUACACAGAGCAUAUAUGACAUCCCUCAUUGAUGGUCUGUGCCUAAGCUGGAGAACACUGUGCAUUAAAUUCCCAGCAAAUACAUCAGUUUUUCACCAGCCAGUGUCAUAGCUUACUGAACAAGCUUUUAGUAAAGAUACUUAUUUUCAGGCUUGUAUUAAUGCCCACUGAACAAAGUCAAUAGAAAUCAUUGCAUCUCUAGAAGUACCACUCAUUGCAAUAGUAUCAUAAAAAUGAAUCAUCUGCAAGCUGCCUGCGCUUACAGCUGUCUUGCUUAAGUUAUUGGAUGGCACGUUGCCUGCUCAUGUGGUGUUUAGACAUAGUAGAGGGAAUAGGUGUCAGAAAAGAUGAUUUUACUGGGGUAAUUUAAAUAGAACAACAACUGUUAGCUUGUUAGCAAUAAUUUCCCUUUUGGUGACUGAACAAGAAAGUGUUAUUCCCCCAUGAAGCUUUCCAGCCUGCUGGCACGUUCUCCCUGCUCCAGCAUCAGGAAGUUGCAGUGAGUCAGGCUCCAAAAUCGUUCAUGGCUGAGGGCUAUUCUUGCCAGGGAUACCAGCACAUCAAGGAGACAUUUUUCAUCUUACUCAAAGUGUAGUUCUUGCUUGGAUAUCAAAGACCAGGAAAGUACAGAAUAGGAGAUAUUUCCUAGCCAGUGGUGUGUCGUCAUUUCUUCCUUUGUCUCUUUCUGGAUCUAAUUCUCUUUUCAACUGGACUAAGUGUUGUGAAUUUUUUUUUAAACUUCUUGCAUCUUUUGUAAAAACCUCCUCAAAGAAGAUUUCUGAAAAAAAGCAAGCAAAGCCAUGGCCUCUCUUUUUCAGUACUCUGAAUUUUUAUGGAGGAGACACUGACUCCUUUCUCUCAGGUGGGUCAAUUAAUCGCAGGAAUUUGAGUUUAAUUAGCCUCCUCUGCCUGAUUAUUUUUUUUACUUUCCAAAAAAGUUAUAAGUGUAAUUGAAAACAUGAAAAUAAACAGCUCUCACUCAGUUUCUUAUUGUAAUGCAACACAGAACAAACCACUUCUCUACUCCCACUCAAUAUUCAAAGAACAGAGCAUCUCAGAGCACCUGCCACCUUGCAGUAUAGUGCCAUAUGUGAUUAUCCAACAGAUUUAUGUAGAGAUAUUAAAAGCAAACUUAAUGGAGAGAAGAAUGUUUCCUCCUACUGUGGGUUCUGCUUAGCUACCAAAUAAAUGUAUUUGGGUAUAUCCAUGUCCCUUUUGUUGUCUUGUUUAAACUCAAGAUGAAAAAAAACAAGUUAUGUCAGAAAAAGUAAGACAGCAACAUGGAUAAAGAUACUUCAGCACAGAUAUGGAACACUGCAGUGCGUUACUGAUGUUUGAUUUGCCUUCAAAAUCUGAUCAUAUAUAUCCUGAAAUUAUCAUUUAAGGACAUUAAGUAUACCCUGGUUUCAAAAACAAAAAUGUGGAUUUUUGUUCUCUGUAUCUCAGUAAGUAUGAUAAAAUAUUUUCUAGCCAAUUGAAAUGGAAACUAAUUAGCUAAUUUAUCCUUAAAAUAUUUGGGUAUUGAAUUUUAUGGUCAAACCUCAUCAAAUCAAUUUAAAUAAACUAUAAAAAGAUCUCUGGAAGGAUGGUGGAGUGUAUUUGUUUCCCAAACUGCAGGAGUAAAUGUUACCAAAGAUGUGUAUUUUAAGAACAGACUUCACUCUAGUCAGCUGACAGCACUAUAAUGUGUAGAGAAUGUUUCUAUGAACUGAAGGAAAAUCAGUGCCUUUUUCCUCUGAGUCACUUGAUUCCUUGUUGUCAUGUUGGAGGAAAAAAAAGCCUGAUAUGUUUUAUGAACAGCGGCUGUGAUCAAAACUCACCUCUAGGAGAAUUCAUUAAAGAUUUUCCUCAUAUUUAUUCUAAAGAAAAUUCAAGUAAUAAUCAUGUUAUACAUAGGGGAGAUAAUAAGAAUGAAUAAUCUUAAUAUCUAUCAUGCAUUAGCAUACAAACAAUAGACAUCUAAUAUUUUUAGCUGCUUUCUUUAUUCUUUCUCCUUUCUGUGUAUGUGACAUGUCACUGUUGAGUUUUUUGCAUAUCAGCUGACUUUAAGGACUAGCUAAAUACUUGUAUAAUAAAUCAGAACUAUUUCAGUAGCUCUGGAAGCUAGGUGUGUCAUCCAACUGCCCAACCAACUGAAGCCUUGAUGAAAUCCUUGGAGUGUAGUUGUAUAACCCAUAGAAAACUAAUUACUUCAAGUCACUUAAAAAUAAAAGAUAGGUACAGCCUCUGCUGCAGUCCCAAAUCUACAGUAAUCUACCAAUGGGAACUAGUGUUAACAGGAACUUGAGUUAAUUGAUUGAAAUGAAUAAGAUUCAAUGUGCAUCUUGAAAUUUUAGAAUAAUUCUACAGCACUAUUCAUUUUGGUGACAGAGAAUACCUUCACUGAUGAGUUCAUGGCUGCUAAUAAAUAGAUUUUAAUUCAACUACAGUUAUUGAGUAGAUUACCUGGAAUACUGUAUCCAGUUAUAGGCUUCCUGGUACACAAAAACCAAGGAUAUCCUGGGAAGAGUCCAGCAGAGGGCCACGAAGAUGAUAAAGGGCCUGGAGCAUCUCCCUUUGAGGAAAGGCUGAGCAAACUGGGCUGUUCAGCCUUGUGAUAAGAAGACUGAGAGGUGAUCUUAUUACUAUUUAUAAUAUUUAUAUUUAAUAUAUAUUUAAUAUUUAUAUUACUAUUAAGUGUGGGAGCCAAAGAGACAUGGCCAACCCCUUUUCAGUGGUCUGUGGGGACAGGACAAGGGGAAAUGGUCAUAAGCUUGGGCAUAAGAAGUUCCACAUCAACAUGCGUAAGAACUUCUUCACAGUGAGGGUGAUGGAGCACUGGAACAGUCUGCCCAGGGACACUGUGGAUUCUCCUUCUCUAGAGAUAUUCAAGAUCUGCCUGCAUGCCUACCUGUGCAGCCUGCUGUAAGGGGGCCUGCUUUGCUGUGGGAUUUGGACUUGAUUAUCUCUGGAGGUCCCUUCCAACCCAUAUAAUUCUGUGAUUCUUCCACUUCCAAAUUUAAACAGCUUGAGUUCCAAGCACAAAGGAAGAUCUUUUCAAAUAGACUGUGAGAAGUGUCAGAUGAUCAGCUCUAUGGAUUCCAUAGGAAUAAGGAAAUAUAGCGAGUCCUUAAGAGGAUGGAGAAAUAUGGUGGCUCCUUACCGGCAAAGAGAACAGUGCUUCUGAUUUUCAUGACAUUUUAAUGAACUGUUUUCACUACGCUUGACAUUUGUCCAGGUGCCCCUUCCAUAAGAAGAUAUGAGCAAGAGGCUUGCAGGACAAUAACAACUACCAAAAUGGAAAUCUAUAAGCUACAUCAUAGCUGAAUUGUGCAACACGAAUCCAGUCUUGCAUAUUAUGGAGGAGGUGAGAAAGGCAGCGCUCUUUCUUCAAUCUCACACUUUCUCUUCCUGCUAGCAGGAAGCUCCCAAAUAGUUUUCUCACAAAAAGACAUCCAACUCUCUCCAACUAGUUUCUGUUUUUUUCAGAUAAAUGAGGGAAGUAGGAGGAAAGAAUCUAUCAUUGUCCUACAUGCAUCAUAAUUUUUUCAGCAGAACUAUUUUACUUCAUAAAAUGGUGCUUCUUCAGGUAAAAAAACAAACAAACAAACAUUUGUGGAAAUACACCAGUCUACAACAAGAAAUCUGCCAGGAUCCCCAGGAAGAAAAGAGCGUUUAGAGAGAUGAAUUUCAGAGGAGGAGAAUUAACAUCCCAGGAGUGAUGGUUUAUGUAUUGAAAUGCUUAGUGCUACACUGUGUACCAGCUGCAAGUGGCCUAAUGCCAGCCCUGGAUGUAGAGCAGCUUCAAGUGUGGCAUUUGCACUACUGGCUCAGGCACCUAUGCUUUCCAUGUACUGAACACAGAGAGCUGGGGAUGCUGAAGAGUUGGGAAAGUGCAUAAUUCAAGCCUCCAAAGAUACUGGGUGAAGCAUGUUCCUGAAGGAAUACAUUUCUACAAGACAUUUAUCUAGCUGAACUGUUUUGGAUUUCUUCCCCUAAUGUUAAAAUGCUCAAAAUGCUAUUUUGCCUAACCAAUUGCACCUCCAUGAGGAUUCAAGAAGAGUACAUGUACCUGCCUUGCUUGUGUUAGAUAAAAUCUAACACAAAAUCAAUUCCAGAUGACUAGUCAGAUCUUCACCAAAAUAAAAUUACAUCUACCAUGCCAAAGCUAAGUGAGGAAAGAGUGAGGUAGGUAAAAACCAACCAACCAACCACAAAAAAAAAUGAGAUACAUAAGAUCUCAGUAGUGUAAGGACUAUUCAUUUAAAUCUCUGCUCCAGUUGGUGGGAAGCUACGCUCCUGAGGAAGGUGAGAAGUUAAUGUUCCUGCAUGCUCAUGUAUGUCCCCUUGGGUUCCUUCAGCCCACUCCCCCAAGCUGCUGUUUCUCCCUCACACCUGAUGCAUGGUAAGGAGGAGGUAAUGCACAUAGGAAGGGUUUGGUGAACAGUGGCUAGUGCCUGUGUCACGGGGCAAAUACACUCCUCAGUCCUCCCCUGUCCACUCCAAUUAUUGGAGCAAUUGUUUUCACAUAUAUAAACCUGGAGGAAGACUUAGGCAGCAAAAGAGGCCAAAUGUUGUCCAAUUGAUUUAUUACAAGUUCUAAGCAGCUAAGGAACGCAGGGAAGAUGGGGAAGUUAGAGAUAGUAAAGAGAGAAAUCCUAGCAAAUGGUUUACAAAGCAGGGAUAGUCACCACCAGAGAUCCAGUGAAGUCUCAGUCUGUUGACCCACACAGCUGCAGUCUGUUAGAGGGUGUACUUGCUCUACUUCAGAACUUUUCUGUUUUUUAUCCUUUUCAUAGUGUCACUUUGGUUGCCAGGGGCACUUCUUUUUUUCUUUUUAGUUUACCACAGCUUGCUUUAGAUGUCAGGAAGCACUUAUGUUUUGUUUGUCAGAGGAAACAGCACAUGCCCCUCCCAAUUACCUUCCAGGGUAAUUGGUAGUUGAUCUGUCACAUGGGGGGCUGCUAGGUAAGUACAUUGACUGUAUGGUGAUCCUCUCCUCUGAGAUGACUUCCUUUAGCCGGCUUGAAUGCCCCAAAGGAGCAACAGCCAAAAAUGGUUUCCUCUGAUUGCCCAGUCGCAUAUGUUUCUCUUACUGCUGAGCUCACAAUAAUCAUUAACCCCAAAAGCUUGUUGAGCAGGUUAUGCCUUGGAUGGGUGCUGCUGAAUAAGCUUUGAGCCAAAAAUUGUUCCAGCUUCUCACAUCCCCACAGUUAGUUUGCCCACAGCACAGGACAACUGUUGUUCUCCUAUUCAUGCACCCAAACUUCUCUAGACAGCUAACAGAGUGGCCCAUGUCUUAUGCUAGACUAGAGUUAGAUGGUGGCUGAGGGCACUUUUCAAGGAACCAAGACAGCAGCAUGCCGAAUACCUGCCUGGCCAGACAGUCACAACCACUCAUAACGUCUGUUCAAAUGUGAACAGGAAAUUCUUGCUCUGAAGCUGGCUUUAUGAAUUGGACCCCAUGCUCUGAAGUGUGGAGGAAGGUGAAUGCAUUAGGAAUUUGUGGCCACUUCUGUCUGCAGUUUCUAUAUCAGUAGGUUGGCAUUACUAAUACAGUGGCUUUACUGGUAUAUAGACUUCCAGUCACAUUUACAAAAUGCAUAAGAGGCGCAAUUAAAUCCUUGCAUUCUUGAAACACUUCUGAUCUUUUUCAUGUAGCCUCUCUCUCUCCUGACUUCAAUAAAAAAAAAAAGUGGGAGUAAAAAAAAAAUAGAACAACAAGGUCUGGAGAAUCUCAUAAGUAUACAGAGUAUCAUUAGUAGGUGGUGAUAUAAAAAAAUACAAGAAAUGUUCCUCUCCGUUACUGUAUAUAGAUAUGCCUGGUUGGUCAAAGCCUGCUACUACAAACACCCAGAAUAUAAUUGCAUAUGAUGUUGCUGAACAUCAUUAACCUGAUUGUUCCAGUAAUCUGAUUAGUAACUGCCUUCGAACUCUGUUUUCAUGAAAUUUUUCUUACCAUCUCAAGAAUUAAUUUAUCCAUUGCUGGCUCUUGCAAUCACUUGCUUAUCCCAGCUAAGGCCCAGCUGUGUUGUCUGAGCUCCUUGAGCUCUUCUCUGUAUGUCAGUCAUAUGUUACUCUGCAUUGUGAGCUGUCAUUCAUUUUAAACACAGCCAUGUGGAUGGCUUGGGUCAUGUUCUCCUCUCCUCCCCUACCAGGCUCCUGGGAAAUUUCCACAUUCCAUUUGUAAUUUUCAGGAAUCACUGUCCUGUUUCUCUCUUUCACCUUAUUAGAUAGGAGAACUUACAACAAUGUCCCAUCUUAAGAAAGAUGUGUAAACUCAGCUCACCAAGUAAUGUCACCAGUAUCUCAGGCAAGUAUCAGAACUACUCUAUUAAAAAACAAUAUCAGCCUGUGAAAUCUUCAUCUACCAGUUCAAAUAAAUGGAAACCUUAACUUUUUUCCCAUUACUUUAAGAAUAUCCAGAAGAAUAUAGACUGCCUGCAAAAACAUCUUUUGCAAUGAGGUAUUGAUUUUGAGGAAGUUUUUGCAAUAGAAAGGUUUAUGAGAUCCAGAGCACUCCAGUCACUCCUGAUGGCAGAAAGGAAAAGAAGUCUGAAAUGAAAACCUGGUAUUAUUGAUCUAAAAUUGAUGGUUUUGAUAGAGUGCCAUUUUUGAAACCAAGAAGAUAUGGGAUUUAUUCCAGUGUGAAAUACAAACCAAUUUCAAAACCUUAAGAGCUCAUAAGACUGCCAGACUGCAUGGUGCUAAUGAGUAACGCAUCAGGAGGGAUUUGCAGAGCUACAAAGAUUAGACAGUUCUUACUCUUUUUUUUUUUUUUUUUUUUUUGGUCAUAGAAUUCAUUAUCUGAAUAGGGGAAUCUCUGAAUGGCUAGAAGAUGUCAUCUCCAUUACAGCAUUUGCAGAAAGUGGCUAAUGAUGUAUGCUUCUUCUCAGGACAGUGGCAUCCUGAAGGGCAUGGAAAAACAUUCCACCUACAAAAAGCAUCCUGAUAUUCAAGGCUGGCUCUGAGGCUAAAACCACUGCUCUCCAAGAGAAUGGACUGCAGGGGCAGCAGAGGCUCUCCCAUUUCUGAACCUUGCAAUACUGGGCUGUAUAAUGCUGCUAUCCCUAUAUGAGUGAAGGGGCAUGCAAGAAAGAUUAUUCUUGGAGGAUGGCUAAGACACUAGAUGAGAACACAUCUUUCCAGCAGCAGCUGCAAUUGCUGUACCCAUCAUCUUGCAGGUGUUUGGAAAAAAAAAGUCACUGAGCUGAAAUUCUCAGGGGUCUGCUGCUCCCUCAAGCUCUCCCAACUUUUCCUGUUCUGGGAGCAGGCAAGAACGUUCAAA
ensembl:lncRNA